UACAGAGGGUGCGAGCGUUAAUCGGAAUUACUGGGCGUAAAGCGUGCGUAGACGGUAGCGUAAGUCAGAUGUGAAAUUCCCGGGCUCAACCUGGGGGCUGCGCUUGAGACGUGCGAUCUUGAGUGGGGAAGAGGGUCGUGGAAUUCCCAGUGUAGAGGUGAAAUUCGUAGAUAUUGGGAAGAACACCGGUGGCGAAGGCGGCGACCUGGUCCUUGACUGACGCUGAGGCGCGAAAGCGUGGGGAGCAAACAGG
rnacentral:rRNA from 1 species